rnacentral:lncRNA from 1 species
CAUGGGGUUUUUGAUUAUGUGAUUACUUGGCCGUUUUUUUAAUGAUUAUUUGAUUAUUAAGCCAAAUAUUCAUGAUUAUUUGAUUACCUAGGACUGUAUUUUUAGUUUAUGAUUAUUUGAUUACUAAAGAUAAGCAAAUAUUUAAUGAUUAUGUGAUUAUAUUGGCAAAAAAAUUGUGAUUAUGUGAUUACUAGGACCCCCCCAUGAGGGGCCUCAGAGCUUCGUGCUAAUUUCCCUGCAACUGAUCUGGUACAGUUCAACUGUAUGCAAAUUUCGGUAUCUGUACAGCUAAGGAUAUAUGUACAUGUAUCAUUGAUGCUAACUUGUAAUAAAUUGCAUAAAGUCUGAAAAGGAGAAUGGGAGAAAGGCAAGGUUCUUCAUGUUCAUUGUGUGUCUCAUUCACUGCAAAUAUCUCAAUAACAAAUGUAUUGUGUAAUCAGUUGCUCUGUGCCUUCCAGUGGUGCAAAAAAAAAUCAGCAUGGCAAUCAAAUUCAAGCGUACAUAUUUUUUCAUUCUCAAAUGGCUGUUCUUUUGCUGCAUAAGUGUGGUCUGAAUUUUUAUCUAACAAGAGUUCUCCUUUGACUUCUUCUGAUGUAAUAGAAAUUUCCUCAAAACCAGAGAUGUGUCAUAAUUGGAUGAUCCUUUUCAUCUUCAGUGUGGAUUGAAACUGCAACAGAUAUCUCCUCCAUAAUGGUAUCAACAGCUGUCCAUGGUCGAGGAUUGUACCUUUUUUUU